rnacentral:pre_miRNA from 1 species
AUGAGUCACCCAGGGAUCUCAUUAAAAUGCAGAUGCGGAUUCUGGGGGGCUGGGUGGGGCCGGGGAAUUUGCAUUACUAACCAGCCCCCAGGUGCGGCUGGU